rnacentral:lncRNA from 1 species
GUGCUCACUAGUUAAGUAUAUCACAUUGCCUGGUCCUCAGAAUAGCCCAGCAGGGUACAUGUUAUAUCUUGUGAUUAUUCCUAUUUUACAGAUAAGAAUCCUAAGAUUUGAAGAGGUUAAGUCAGUUAUUUAAGACCUUACAGCCAGACGAUGACUGAGCUGGGAUUUAAACUGUGAGCAUCUGACAACAGAGCUCAAGUACUCAACAGGGAAGAGACCAGGAGGUGAGUCUAGUUGAGACAGGGCUCUGAGAUGUGAGUGCGCUGAGCCCCACUUGUAUACCAGAUAUUCUGUGAGUUUAUCUCAUGAAAUCCUCACUAACUUUCUUCAAGGUAGGGGUCAUUGUCUCCAGUGGGCUCCCUGACUUGUCCCACAGUGCAUGGAGUGUAAAAUGAAGAGGUAUCUCUCUGCCUCCAAGACCAAGGCCAUUCUCACUGCUAUUCUCAAUAUGGGGUCUUACUUGGGAAAUCAAGUUCUUAAGGUGAGAUAGAUACUUUAGCUUUUCUCCUAAAAAAGUUUUUUUAAGAUAUAUUGUGGUAUUUAAAUCCACAGAACACCUGGAAUUGAUUUUCUAUAUGGUGUGAGGGAGGGAUUCAAAAUCAUUUAUUGCCAGUAUUCUCACUAGUAUUACCAACAGUUAGAUAAUCAAAUAACCUUGGUCAAUUCCAAAUGCCAGUUUAGCGUGCGUGAUCACACAAACUUGAGAAAGCCUUGACAUUUGCCUUUGCACCAUGAAUGAGGAAGGUGUUUCUAAGCAAAUUCAAAUGGCAACAUACUUAAGGGAAAAGGCUCUUUCCAAAUAUCAAAUAAGUAGAUGCUUAGUGAUUCAUGUACUAAUGACCAAUAUGUGUAUCUUUUUACCUGUUUUUCUAAGAUUCUUUUGAUAUUGCUUUCAAUUCUUUUAUGGAAGAGAUUCAGGAUCCAUCUGAAGAGAAGAGAAAGAAGGUCAGGAUACAUUUUAAGGUGAACUGAGACUCCCAAAAGGAAGGCUACCCAGGGAUCUGAACUUUCCCCAUUUUAUCUCAACAAUGAGACCCAGGCAGAUGAAUUUAAUCCAAAGGGGGAAAACCCUGGACAACCUUUAGUAUAACUAUGUACAUCUUAAAGUCCACUUCUUCCCUAGCCCCCAGGUCUAAGAAUGAGUAGCAAACCCUGUUCAGCCAAUUGGAGCUCAUGCUGAUUAGUCUAGGGAUGAGCAUGUGACCCAAUGUGGACCAAUGAGAGCUUUUCCCAGGGCUUUUAUGGUAAAGGAUGCUUUCACUGAGGUCCAAGGAAGCCUGAGUUCCCGGUGACCAUCAUUUCCACUCUAGGGUGGGGGACCCUGCCUCAGAAUGAAACCAAUAGAGAAAAAAGCAGAACCAGGAGCCAGAAAUUCCCAGUGAUGCUGGUCAAACACCUGGAUCCAGUCAGAGCUAUGACUCUAUCCCCUGGCUUCCAUGGGAACCACUCAAGUUCAUUCCUGCCUCUUUUAUUUUGAUUUUGGUGCUGGGGACAAAACUCAGGGCCUCGGGCAUACUGGGCAAGUGCUCUACCGCUAAGUGACACCUCCAGCCCCAGUUUAUCAACAGAUGACUGCUAAGACAUUGUAGAAUCUUCUUGUAAUAGAUUAGUUUGAAAAGGAAACUUGCUUUCUGAUGAGGAAGGAUUUCCAAAUACACGCAAAGUGAAGAAAAGCUAGGGAUGUGAGAUUGUAUACAGCACGCUCCUCUCUGUGUAAAAACUAAAAGACUAAAUACCCACCUGGGCAGUCAGAGAAUUUCAGGACUCACACCUGGGACGCUCAGCCUUGGUUGCUGCUAGCAAGGAGAAUUGAUGGGCAGGGAACUAAAGUGGAGAGAGAUUUCCCCACCCUGUACCCUUUUGCACAUCUUGAAUUUUGAUAAAUCAUCUAUUAAAAACAUUUGAAAAAAUUUAAAGCGUAAGGUGGGGGUAAAGCCUAUUCUUUAUACCUCCCCAAGCCUGCCAAACAAUUUUUUUUUCCUCCAGCAGUUCAACAGUUUAGUUUAGUUACUUGUUAAUUUCAUGGAGAUCCGACGAGUUGAAGCCACUGCAGAUAAAGUCACCUGCAGAGCUCCCUCCGACCACAGACACCCCCCUGGCAGAAGUGAGGACCGGGACAGGGUUCCCACACUGUGUUCUUCCAAAGACUGCAGUCGAGGGUGAAAGGUUGUUGGAAACACGGGGACUAAGUCACUUGACUUACUCUGGCAAUCUUUUCUCUCUCGUGAAGUUUCCUUUGCCAUUCGGUUCCUGCUGGCUGAUGACUGGUGAGGUGCAGAGCGGAUGCGGGAGGUGUGUAUUACAAUAGUAAAACCAGAUACAUGUGCUUCCUGGGUUCUAUAGAAAGCAUCCUAAACUUUCCAGAGCUCUAUCCCUGGAGCAAACCUGGGACCCACAGCCUGCCUGAACCUUGGUCCCUGGAUGGGCCUGAGCUGUCUGGCUGUUGCUGUAGACACCCUGGUUGGGGUCCCUGAUGGCUAUGGUUGGGGUAUUGCUUCCAGUAAAACCUUCUACACCCAUGGGUAGGCCUACAACCUGCGCCAACAUAUUGAAGCAGUAAGAGUUUUUUCCAUGGGUCACAGACUCCGUGAAGUCACCCUGGACUCCUUCCCUGCCUUCCUGCCCAAGUUCAACCUCCUCUCCCACUUCCAGUGUCAGCACUUGUCUGCGGCCCAUCAUCUCUCACCUUGACAACUGUCUCUGCCUGCAACCUGUCUCCUUCUCUUUGUGCUGCCUCACUCUGAUCUCUCCUAAAGAUGCUGUCUUUUACAGCAAAAAUCUGAUUUUAUCACCCCCCUGCCUUCUUAAAAUCUUUCAAUGGCUUGCCACUGCCCCGUAAGAGAAAAUCCAUAAUCCUGUUCCUGCCUAAUCCUUUAAAUUCUCCUGGUAACCCCCACCCCAUCCUUUUGAGGUACACUGACUUCUUUUUACUUCCUGAAAAGCACAGCAUUUUCAUGCCUCAGGAUCUUUGCACGUGCUUCUCUUUAUGCCAGUAAAGCUCUCUCCUCCCCUUCCCAUUUUGCUUAAAUUCCAGGCUCAUUUCUGAUAUCCUGUCUUCCAGGAAAUUGUCUCUAUGCAUAAGCUAGGCCAGUCCUUCUGCAUUCAGAGCACCUGGUCUCUCCUUAUGAGCAUGUCAUCAUAAUUAUAUCAAGUGUAGUUCAUUACAUACUAAAAUGUUUAAUACCACACUGGGGUAGAGACUCUGUCUAUUGCUUCCUCUUAUAUAUAUCCUGAUCUUGCAGUUAGAUCAGGAUCUGGUAAAUAAUAAGGGAAUCAAUAAGUAUUUGUUAAAUGAAUGAGUUGGUAAAGCUACAAACUCUCCUGUUUUGGUCAAGACCAUGUUUCCUCUGUCUAAAUCCCUAGAACCCCAAUCAUGUAGCAGCCACCAACAACCAAACAGCUGAAAGAUUUUUCUGGCCACACUAUGUGUGUGUGUGUGAACUGCAUAGAAUUUCAUGAAUUUGCUCCUGAGAAAUGGGGACUAUGUCCACCUGUGAGGGUUUGGAUAUGAGAUGUCCACCCAAAAAGCUCUGUGUCAAUGCAGGAGGGAAACGAUCAGAUUGUGAGAGUUAUAACCUGAUCAGUGGAUUGAUUCAUCUGAUGGAUUAAUAAUUUGAAAGGACUAUUUACAGUACUGGGAGAUAACUCUAGGCAGGCAGAGCGUGGCUGGAAAUGGAAAUAGGAAGUGGAAAUAGGUCACUAGGGCCGUGCCUUGGGGUUUAUAAUUGGUCUCUGGCCUUGCAUUUCCUGUUUUCUGGUUGCCAUGAGCUGAGCUUUCCUUUGCUGUCCCUUCCCCAUGAUGUCCUGUCACCUCAGGCCCAGAGCAAGGAAGGUGGCCAACCACGGCCUGAAGACCACUAAAACUGACAGCCCCAAAUAUACUUCCUCCCCUAAGUGUUCUUGUCAGGUGUUUGGUCAUAGCAACCACCGCCUGGUUAAAACAGUGCUUCGAGGGCUACAGCCUCAACCAAUCUCCUUUGGCAGAUUCCGGCUGAAGCCUCCAAGCAUUUGUGCAGAAAACAUUAAUCAGUGAGUAAAUGAACAACUAACCAUCUCUGCUUCCCAAAACACAAAUCUCCUGCAAGCACAGGAUGGCAAGUCUCCACGCUUCGGUGGGCAUUUUGAUCUUGUCAACGUGGCCGCCCAGAACAUUAACUUCUAGCAGAGAGGGGCUUGUCUCUUUACCCUGUGUGCCCCUGCUGCCUGCCAGGUCCAGCUCUGUCCUUCCGAUUUACCUCCCAAGCCCUCUUGCUGGGCUUCCGUUGCUCUGCUGCCCCACCAUGUCCUGGUGGUGGCCGUGUUCCUCCAUGGGUAUCCUUCUCUAAGGCGCCAGUUCCUUCUAGAUCUGCAACGCCCUUCUCCUCUGACCUUCAACCCAGGGUGAUACUGGCCCCCUGCUGUCACCACUCUCAGGUGCAGCACUCCUUGUAGGUUUCCACCAUUCAGUCGACUCUUUGAUUGACAGUCCCCUUAUCAGGUAAGCCUGUGGAGUUGCCCUCUUUUUCCUGCCAGGACCUGAGUGAUGCUGUGACAACUCAAAUACUGGGAAAGCAGUCGUGCUGGAGACUGCCACUCAUUCAGUGUCCCUGAGUAUCCCCCAUGGGCAAAUCUCGUUGGUGUGCUGGGUUCCCACUGAAGACCAUCUUGCCUGGGAAUCAGCAUGUGUUUUCUUAAAGAGACAGAUGGUAAAUGGUUGGGGCAUUUGCCUGUCCUGUGGGCUCUGUUGCUCCUACCCAGCUUUACUAUUGUAGAGCUAAGGCAGCCACUACCAAAAUGUAAAUGAGCGGUCGUGGCUAUGUUUCCAUAACAUCUUAUUUACAGAAACAGGUGGCAGGCUGAAUUUGGCCCACGGACUCCUGCUCCUGAAGACCCUUGAAAUCUUGCUCUUCUGCCUGUUAGAGGGGCUGAAUGAAGGUUGAGCAUGUUACUGUGGCAGCACUAUCUCUAGCCAGUGUGCUGAGGUCACUUACUUUAAGCUUCCAGAAAUGCGGACGCUCACACGGCCAAUGGAGUUGCUGCAGUGGUGUAUGGAGGCAGUGGGUCGUCCAGUCUCGUCCUUGCCCAAGUUCAGAGAGACUGAGAUGGAAAUGCCAUCCACCUUCAGAUCAAACGAGCCUUUCAGGUUGCUGGUUGGGGGAAAUGAGAAGUAAACUGCUGUAUAAACUGGGUCACCAUCAAGAAGAGCAACCAAGACACAGCCCCAGAUUUGUCUCCCAGGUUCCCACUAACCAGCUGUGCCUCCUGCCUGGGCCUCCACUUCUCUUUAAAAACAGUGUCACUGAGGAUUUGCUAUGUGCUAGGCACACAGCUAAAUGCCUUACCUCCGUUGUUUUAUUUAAACAAAGGCAUCUCUGAGACCAUUUCCCAGAUAAGGAAACUAACGCUUAAGGAUUGUUGGAUCUGGGUCCUUUGAAUAACCAGGGAGGGAGGGAGGGUGUGCCUUUGCCCAGAGCUGAGCCACAUUCCUACCGGAGUGCUACUCACAUGAAUCCUUUUUUCACCUUCCAGUUCCCACCCAAAGACAGAUCGUUGUUGGACAGGGAAGCCCUGAUUCCCAGCCCUGGAAGUAGACUCAGAUCUGAGUUUCGGACCUCGAAGCGAUGGAUCUUCAGGCUGGGGAGGAAAGCAGAUGUCAAACCCAUUAAAAAAAAAAAAACCAGGGGCAUAGGGCUGAGGUUGUAGCUCAGUGCUGGUAUGCUGGCCGUGCAUUUAUGAGGCCCUGGGUUCGAUCCUCAGCCCCACUCAAAAAUAAAUAAAUAAAAUAAAGGUAUUGUGUCCAUCUACAACUAAAAAUAUUAAAAAAUAAUAAUAAAAAUAAAAAACAAAAAACAGGGGCCUGUUUAUCCCUGAGUGAGUCCCCUCCCGUUCCUCUCACUCUCUUUUGAAUAUAUUGACCUAACCCAC